UACGAAGGGGGCUAGCGUUGCUCGGAAUUACUGGGCGUAAAGCACACGUAGGCGGCUCUUUAAGUCGGGGGUGAAAUCCUGGAGCUCAACUCCAGAACUGCCUUCGAUACUGAAGAGCUCGAGUCCGGGAGAGGUGAGUGGAACUGCGAGUGUAGAGGUGAAAUUCGUAGAUAUUCGCAAGAACACCAGUGGCGAAGGCGGCUCACUGGCCCGGUACUGACGCUGAGGUGCGAAAGCGUGGGGAGCAAACAGG
rnacentral:rRNA from 1 species